UACAGAGGGGGCAAGCGUUAUUCGGAAUUAUUGGGCGUAAAGGGCGCGUAGGCGGCUUUGCAAGUGACGGGUGAAAUCCCUCGGCUUAACCGAGGAACUGCCUGUCAAACUGCAUGGCUUGAGACCGGGAGAGGUGAGUGGAACUGCGAGUGUAGAGGUGAAAUUCGUAGAUAUUCGCAAGAACACCAGUGGCGAAGGCGGCUCACUGGCCCGAUACUGACGCUGAGGCACGAAAGCGUGGGGAGCAAACAGG
rnacentral:rRNA from 1 species